rnacentral:lncRNA from 1 species
AAAUACAUGUUACUUGGUAUGGUUAAGCUACGGAAUGAAUUAGUAGAUCACAUGCGAAUAGCUGAUACUUAAAGCACCAUUAAUCUUGUUUAAGACCACGGAACAAAGGGGCUAGAUCUAUCGGGUACCGGGCGAGCCCCACUCACGAGUCCUUGUGUGACCACAUGGAGUUUCCUUUGUUACCCUCGCCGGGUGGACCGGUACUAAAUCGCUUACGGGUUGGUGGCUUCCUAU